rnacentral:rRNA from 1 species
CCUACGGGAGGCAGCAGUGAGGAAUAUUGGUCAAUGGCCGCGAGGCUGAACCAGCCAAGUCGCGUGAGGGAAGACUGUCCUAUGGAUUGUAAACCUCUUUUGUCAGGGAGCAAAGUCACCCACGUGUGGGUGUUGGAGAGUACCUGAAGAAUAAGCAUCGGCUAACUCCGUCCCAGCAGCCGCGGUCAUACGGGGGGUGCGGGCGUUAUCCGGAUUUAUUGGGUUUAAAGGGUGCGUGGGUGGUUUAUCAAGUCAGCGGUAAAAUGGUGGGGCUCAACUCGAACCAGCCGGUGUAACUGGUGGUCGUGAGUGGGGUAGAGGUAGGCGGAAGUCGUGGUGUAGCGGUGAAAUGCAUAGAUAUCACGAAGAACUCCGAUUGCGAAGGCAGCAUACCGGCGCGCGACUGACGCUGAAGCACGAAAGCGUGGGUAUCGAACAGGAUUAGAUACCCCGGUAGUC